CUUGGAUGAGGUUCGGAUGCAAGCUGCCGAGGAACCUUUAAAGAGAAUAGCCCGGCUUCCUUGGGGUUUCCUGUAGCCCAAGAUGGCCUUAAAUUCCCUAUAUAGCUAAGGACGAACUCAAACUUUUGAUCCCUUUGCCUCCGUUCUCCGGAGUGUUGGCAUUAUAGCCUCACCUCCCAUCAGGCAGCGUUUAGCCAGAGCUUCUCUUCGAGCCCGG